rnacentral:lncRNA from 13 species
CUCUUCUACUGAGAUGCACAUUGGAAGACAGAGGGGGAGGGAAUCCCAGAUGCCUGGGUCUCCUUCCUCAGAUGGAGUUUCCAUAUCUUUCUGAAUACUGUGUUCCACAACACCCAUGGCUAUUGGUAAGACUUACUCAACUUAGUCACUAAGAAAAUGAUUUUUCAGACUACUUUGUGCCAGACGCUGCUGUAGGCACAAGAGAAAUGGCAGACGGAAGAGAAGUCAAGCAGCUGGCCUGGAAUCCAUUGAUCUCCCUUUACGGGGAGGAUGUGCAGACAGAAGACAGGUGGCAUUUGAAUGGCAUCAUAAACUCAUUGGCAACUGACCUUCUGAUUACUAGACUAAUGGGUAACUGUGUUCUGCGUUUGGAGACUUCAUCCUUCAGUCUGGGCCAGAAAGCAUAUUUCCGGCAGAAAGAACAUUUCCGGCAGAAAGAACAUGAAGAGUCAUGUUCUGUCCCAGCCUUCUCUAACCUUUGCUUGUGUUUCUUGAUUCUCGUAUAUUGUGAAUGAUGAGCAAGCCAUGAUUUGGUGUACCUAAUUGCCGUUUCACAACAAUGCCGCGGUUUUAAUAGGGAGAUGUGAACUUCACCACCACUGCUUGCAAAGUUUAUAGCAAUUAGAGUCAUUUCUUAAAGUAUAAAAUCUGUAAAACUGAAUGUAGUCUUCUGAGCUAUUAUUAUAAUUGCAGUUCCUCAAUUUCUCUUCUGAAAACCUCGGGGCAAAAUAGAAUUUGAAAUUGGGUUAUUUUUCAGAUGUUAGAAAGGAGAUACCAGUCAGGUAUUAUAAAUUAUAUAACAGCUGCAGUAGAGUUGAAGGCAGAGCUCCAUACUCAAAAAUGUUAAUGUUUCUGAAAUUAAACAUAUGAAUAUUUAUACAAAAUAUCACACAUACAAAUUAUAAUAUGUUGUUUUCUCUCAGUGCUGACUAUGCCACCAGAGGAGUUAGAAAAAAUCUUUCAGUUUUCAGAUAAUUUUGAUUUAUAUCAUUAUAAAUAAUUAUGCACCUGAAUUUUUAUUAUUAAUUCUCUACAUUUUUAACAAAAACACUUUUCAAG